rnacentral:rRNA from 1 species
CCUACGGGUGGCUGCAGUGAGGAAUAUUGGUCAAUGGACGAGAGUCUGAACCAGCCAAGUAGCGUGAAGGAUGACUGCCCUAUGGGUUGUAAACUUCUUUUAUAUGGGAAUAAAACGUUCCACGUGUGGGAUUUUGUAUGUACCAUAUGAAUAAGGAUCGGCUAACUCCGUGCCAGCAGCCGCGGUAAUACGGAGGGUCCGAGCGUUAUCCGGAUUUAUUGGGUUUAAAGGGAGCGUAGGUGGGUUGUUAAGUCAGUUGUGAAAGUUUGCGGCUCAACCGUAGAAUUGCAGUUGAAACUGGCAGUCUUGAGUACAGUAGAGGUGGGCGGAAUUCGUGGUGUAGCGGUGAAAUGCUUAGAUAUCACGAAGAACUCCGAUUGCGAAGGCAGUUCACUGGACUGCAACUGACACUGAGGCUCGAAAGUGUGGGUAUCAAACAGGAUUAGAUACCCUAGUAGUC